rnacentral:rRNA from 1 species
UGGGGAAUAUUGCACAAUGGGGGAAACCUUGAUGCAGCGACGCCGCGUGAACGAAGAAGGUAUUCGUAUCGUAAAGUUCUGUCCUAUGGGAAGAUAAUGACAGUACCAUAGAAGAAAGCUCCGGCUAAAUACGUGCCAGCAGCCGCGGUAAUACGUAUGGAGCGAGCGUCGUCCGGACUUAUUGGGCGUAAAGGGUACGCAGGCGGUUUAAUAAGUCGAAUGUUAAAGAUCGGGGCUCAACCCCGUAAAGCAUUGGAAACUGAUAAACUUGAGUAGUGGAGAAGAAAGUGGAAUUCCUAGUGUAGUGAUGAAAUACGUAGAUAUUAGGAGGGAUACCAGUAGCGAAGGCGACUUUCUGGACACAAACUGACGCUGAGGUACGAAAGCGUGGGGAGCAAACAGG